rnacentral:rRNA from 1 species
AAGGUGGGGAUGACGUCAAAUCAUCAUGCCCCUUAUGAUUUGGGCUACACACGUGCUACAAUGGACAAUACAAAGGGUAGCGAAACCGCGAGGUCAAGCAAAUCCCAUAAAGUUGUUCUCAGUUCGGAUUGUAGUCUGCAACUCGACUACAUGAAGCUGGAAUCGCUAGUAAUCGUAGAUCAGCAUGCUACGGUGAAUACGUUCCCGGGUCUUGUACACACCGCCCGUCACACCACGAGAGUUUGUAACACCCGAAGCCGGUGGAGUAACCAUUUGGAGCUAGCCGUCGAAGGUGGGACAAAUGAUUGGGGUGAAGUCGUAACAAGGUAGCCGUAUCGGAAGGUGCGGCUGGAUCACCUCCUUU